GGCUGGCUGGCCAAAUGGUAAGGCGUCGGACUCCUAUGAAUAGCGUAUCCGAAGAUUCUGGGUUCGAGUCCCAGGUUGGUCG
rnacentral:tRNA from 1 species